rnacentral:rRNA from 1 species
AACGAACGCUGGCGGCAUGCCUAACACUUGCAAGCCGAACGAAGGCUUCGGCCUUAGUGGCUCACGGGUGCGUAACGCGCGGGGAUCUGCCCUUUGCUUCGGAAUAACAGCUAGAAAUGACUGCUAAUACCGGAUGAUGUCGCAAGACCAAAGAUUUAUCGGCAAAGGAUGAACACGCGUAGGAUUAGCUAGUUGGUGGGGUAAAGGCCUACCAAGGCGACGAUCCUUAGCUGGUCUGAGAGGAUGAUCAGCCACACUGGGACUGAGACACGGUCCAGAAUUCUACGGGAGGCAGCAGUGGGGAAUAUUGGAAAAUGGGCGAAGGCCUGAUCCAGCAAUGCCGCGUGAGUGAUGAAGGCCUUAGGGUUGUAAAGCUCUUUUACCCGGGAUGAUAAUGACAGUACCGGGAGAAUAAGCUCCGGCUAACUCCGUGCCAGCCGCCGCGGUAAAAC